UACCGCUUGAUCACUUUGGUCACCGCCAAUGAAAAACAUGGAUCACAAAAAAAAAAAAAAGGUUUCUUAUCUCGUGUUGUUUGGCGCACGCUGCACAAGGUGAACUGCCAAGAGCAAUAUAAUAGAAAACGAUAAAAGUUGUAAUUUCUUAUAAAAAGAUUACAAUAGUACAAGAAAAGAAUCCCAGUUGUGAGAUAACGUAGCUAUGUGAUUAUAGUCCUGAAUUUUUGAGAAUAUUGUCUUAAUUUUUACAUGGGCAUAAAAAAUAUAUUACAAGAAAAGGAGGAAACUAGA